rnacentral:lncRNA from 1 species
UGUCUUCGUAGAUGUCUUCGUAGCACUAAGUUCUAUAUUCAUGUGUAGCUAGAUUCUAUUCUUAUCAUACUUUAGAGUGGAGUUCGCCCCUGUGCUAAUGUGUGCUUACUUUCCGGGGUGCCCACCUUCUAUUCCUUAGAUCCAAAGUGAGGGAAUCUGCUUUCUUGCAAUUAAGUCCAGUACAAAUGUGACGUCUAAGGCAGCCUAAGCUUGUUUACUUGAAGUUCCUUCCCGCAUGAAGACUGGCAAGAAAGGUGGGAGAAAACAAACGAGUGAUAGGAAAGCCUUCUAUAGGAUUUGGAAUGCGAGAAGCCCGCCCACUUACUCCAAUUUACCUCAUGAGAGGCCAGCUUCUUGGGACUAGUAGGUGUCAAAAGGGUACUUCCUUUCUAUCUACAGGUGAGCGCACGUUAGAUUAACGCUUCGAUAUAGGCAAUGAAUGGCUUAGUGGGUAGGCUAUGAAAGUGAAUGAAUUCAAGACAAAGCAAAUCCUGUACUCAUCCAACGAAUGAAUCCAAGCACACAGGCAAGGCAAAGCAAAUCCUUUACUAAUCCCCAAUGAAUGAAUCCAAGCACAGGCAAAUUGGUAUGGGUCGGGACAAUCUGUUGACGGGUAUAUAAAGGUUGGGCUUCUUUCUCGUCAUAACACCCAUGGUUAACUAAGAUUCAAUAUAGCUCAUCCAUAAUUGAUACUCUCCAACUGGACUCUUAAGGAAUUUGGAUAUUAUCUUCUGAAGUAUUGUACAUAUAUUGGAAGCUUCAGUAUUGUACUGUACAUAUAUUUGAAGUAAUGUUAUGCUCUUUUAUAAUGUCAUAGCUAGAUUUUCAAAGAAGUUGGGUUACUUUAAAUCAAUUAGAGAAUCCAUUGCUCAUAUGAAUACUUGUAUUUCACUAGAUUCUUCUUUUGCUAAGUCAUAUAAAUAUAUCCUUACUUGAUUAAAAGGAGUGUGUUUAUUGACUUUAUUCUUAUAGAAUCUGUGUACUUAAGAGUUUGAUUACUUUCUUUCCUGCGCACUUAAGAGUUUGAUUACUUUCCUUUGAUAAUGUGUGCAGUUUAGAGUGUUGCUACUUUAGAUAAUAUCAUGUGUGCGUGUGUGACUAAUCUGAUUUGAAUAGAAUCUUAGCCUAAUAUACAUAGGGUUAACAACCUCCUUACUCUCAUAGGGUGGUAAACAACCUCCUUACUACUAAUCACAAUUUCUUAUUACUAUUAAGUUCCAAUACAUUCUCAAAUAGAUUAACAAUACAGCAACACUUACAAUAUCACAUUUAUUGACUAGCAUAGCAGCAUUGCUUCAGUAACCCAACUCUAACCUCACAGCUUGACUUCUGCAACAACUAAACAAGCAGAGGGUGACAAGCAACGGCGCGUCAGUGAGUUUUGGCAUUAAUCCGCUCGCCGACGACUACGAAGAAAGGACUUGCUUUGAAGCGAGGUGCUCGAUAAUCAUAAGUUCCAGUUUCAUCAUAGAAAGAAGUUGUACGAUAUUGUUAUUGUCUCCAGGAAAAUAUGCUGGAUCAGGAGAAGUUCCCGUUUUCGUGGCGUUGGUGUUGGGCAUGGAUACAGGUAUACUAUUCUACAGUUAUAUACCUUAGCUCGACUUAAAGAUAAGAUUCCUUGGGGGUGGGGGUCGACUCUUAAGGUGGUGCAAUAAAUACAUAACCAGUUAUAGAAGCAAGUAAAUGGACUUUCCCCUGCUAGAAGCAAGUAAAUGGACUUUCCCCUUCCGGUGGAAUUUCCACUCUAAACGACAACUCACCUACGCACACAGCAUCUUAUCUCUACAACUUUCCUACGCGAGAGUUCAUCAUCAGAAAGGAAUGGACAAUCAGAAGAAUCUCGUUGUGCUUGUACAUAACUCGCAAGAAUUCGACCAUUGAAAUGUAGGUGCUCGUGCGAUAGGGGCCCAUGCCUCUCUAAUUGAUGAGCAACUAUUAUUUCGAUCUUGAGGGAAUCUGUUAUUUCGAUAUAACCCCCAUCGCUAAGCGCUAAACCAUUUUCGAGAAGUGCCCCCGCUCUCUGAUGCAUCUCUGGGCUACUCAUUGCUCGUAAUUGAGAGAUCUCAGAAUUGAGUUGAGUAGUGAGGCUCUCAGGGAAGAGGUGAAGCUUACCGUGCUCCUCAUUAUAUUGGAGAGAAAUGAAUUUCGCAUCAUUCCAUGAAACAUCCUUUUGCUGUAAACGACGAUUGAUACAGCCAAAAAGAGUAGAUAUCAACCGCUCCGCCCUUAGCAAAGGCAACCGACUCUGAAAGUCCAAACGAAAGAAUAUAUCCUGAAGAGGGCUACUCUCUCUUAAACUACGGACAAGCUUGUUUGUUGUUCCUACGAUAGGGACGUUUUUUCCCUUCGUAAAAGCACGACCAUCCUUCGUAUCUAACUUGCAUUCCUCGCCAUUUAGGACAUGCAAGAGAGUGUUAUUUGCAGAAGCCGUCAUGGAUUGACCAAAACCGGAGCUCAUAUUAUCUUCCACUAUAUGAAUUUCAUCAAAAAGCCAAAGAUCAUAAUCAUCAUGCGCACCUGUAUAAUCAUUCGUGGUGGCAUGGUAAAUAUGUAAAACCUCGUUCAGAAGCUGUAAAACGAGCGUCUUUUGAGUAUUGGGAAGGCCAUAAAGCAGCAGCUGCUUGGUACCUAUGGGUCUAUUGAAGAUCAGAUUGACAGCUAUCCAAUCUAAAAAGACAUAUUUCUCUUUUAAGUAUUGCAUUGAAUACUCUUCUGGCCAAUUCGCAGCAGACAAGUAGCUUACUAACCUAGCAUAUAAAGUGAGUUCUCUCUUUUGAGAAUACUUGACCAGAUACUCUUGGGGCAAGCCUUUUGUCUUUGGAUGAGUCCCCAUUCCGCUCUGUAAGUUGCCAGGAGAAGAAGAGACUACUGGUGUAGCUAUGUUCAUAAGGGAAGAAUAUACUCUAUGCGGACUUCAGGUCAUACAUAGGGAAUAGCUGGUUUCAGUCUAAAAGUAAGUGAGUGAAGCCUGCCACUACCUGGGUGAAGUCUGGUCGGAUCUAGUUGAAGUCUUGUUGUUGUUAUAUGUAGUUAUCCUUGUUAGCACAUGUUGGUGUCUCGUUGCUAGGUGUUUCAGUCUUAGUCCUGUAGUUGCUAGUUUGAUUCUGGUUGGAGUGCCCCCGUUGCUUGGCCCUCGCUCUGGUCCCUAGUUAAGUCUGUUAGGCAUUGGGUUCAAUCCUAUAGGCCGUAGUCGCAUGCUAACAAUCAAAUACAUAGAAUCCGGGUGUCGAGUUCAAUUAACUAAAGAGUCAGGCUUGCAAUUCCAGAGUAAGGCUUGCUAUCGGUAGUUGGAUUGCUACUUUCUAGUUUCAUCCAAUAUGGUAGUAGUUCUUCUUAGAAGUUAAGUAGUUACAGCUUGAAAGCAAGUAAGUAAAGAUCCGAAUCCAUAGUCAAAGCAUGAGUUCCGGGUUAAAGUCUUAGAGGGAGUAGUUGACUUCCGAGUCCCUAGUUGUAGGCUUAUUUGUAGUGGUUCAAUUCCCAUUAUUAGUUGGUUAAGUCCUAGUUCCGAGCUGAGUUCUUGUCAGUAACAGUUCCAUUCCCCUUUUGAGUCAAAUUGUUAGAUGCGCUGCACCAUACCAGUAUCUUCUAUUACUUGUUUCUUCUUUUAAGUCAGCAGUAACAGACUAACCUGCAGUAACAGGAGACUACUAUUUCGUAAAGUCAUACUUGAUAGAUGGGGGAAGGACAGCGAAUGAAGGGCAGUGUUUGGAUUCUCUGUUGCUUGUUUUAGCAUUAGAGACACUAGCUCAAUUCCCAUAGUUGUAACCCCAUAGCUGGUUUUAGUAUGAGAGAUAGGGGCUCAGCUCUCUUAUUCUUAUUGGUUAAAGGAGAUCCGGAUCAAUAGAGAAAGAAUGAAAUGAAUCCAAAAGUGAGGUUGUUACGCCGGUGAGUAAGAUUGACUAUCUGCUCAGUGACUCUGAUUCAUAUUGGUUGGAUUCCCGGCUUGUCGCUAUAUAUCCUUGUUAGUUAGGGCAGUGUUCGAGUUCGUAGUUAAGUCCUUUAAAGCAGUGGUGAAAGCCCUAGCUCUUAGGUUCCACUUUAUAUUCCUUGUUUCUCUUGUGGAUUCUUUCCAUUAGUAGCUCCAUUCCCUAUAUUCUAUAUUGAUAUUGACUGUUGCUUGCCAGUGUUUGACUCGCUUAAAUCCCUAGGGCAGUGACCCAAUCUCUAGUGUUCUUGUUUUUGGACUGCCACCCAAAAGAGUGUAGCGGCCCUAUCCGCGCAACGCGUGUAAAAAGGCAUUUUGAUAACAAUUCCUUUGUUCGUUCAAGGGGUUGGUUUUGGCCAGAACAGGACUACUACGGGUUGGUUGAAAGGAACUGUAGGCUGAGGCUCCUCUCCUCUCCUAUAGGUCGGCAAGAGAAUAAGUGUCGUCUCUUUCAAAGGGUUUGUAGUAGUAUCUUGGCGUGCAUUAAGAGACUUGGUCUAAGAAAUCAGACAGAACCCGAAACUUCUCCAUACUUGUCCUAGUGCUUCCCAUAAUGUAACUAGUAGCAAACAGACUAAGCAAACUCAUUAUAAGAAAGAAAACUAGAAAUACUGGAUAUGAGUACUGCUUCUCCCACCUUAACUACUAAUAUCAGAUUGAACCCAGUGCUUCUCCGGCUGUAACUACUUCCUGCUAGCCCGCCCCCUUACUGCCAUUAAUUCUAUAUUUCACUAAAGGGCUGCCGCUACGUAAUCUAAGCCCACUUUGCUUUAUCUUAUUCUCCAGCUCCCCGAUGCUUUAGUCUGCUUGUCUGACGCUCAUAACUCUGCUUGCUGCUUCUGUUGUUGCGCUAACGGAAGUCCUCAAUUCAUAGAUGAGUCAACACCUCUCCUUUGCCCGGAAAGUCAAUAAGAGAAUUGCAAGUUCUAGUCCAUCUUAUAAAGAAUACGGUAUAAAGAAUACGGUGUCACCAAGGAGAUAUAAAGAAAGUAGGUGACCAAGGAGAUCAGAAGCCCCCCUUAUUAAGGCUAUACAUUAGUGGUCGACCAGAGAAGACAGAGAAUCAGCAGGGUGCUUGAAGUCUCCAAUCUCACUCAAUCUGCCUCCAUAGCUUUCUAAAGUCAUCUUUUACGUUCUUUCUUCCUUAUAUCUGAUAGGUUUCUAUCAUUUGCCUAUCUUAUGGGUUUCUAUCACCUAUGAUCGGUAGAAUAUACACUUUUCACAGAUGAAUCAGCCAUUAACCCUUCCUAAAGAAACACCAAAUACGGAUUGAAGACUACUUGAUCGUGGAAAUACAUACUGCGAAUGUGCGCUAUCGAAGAAGCGAGAACACACUCGUGUCAUCUCUGGAAGUAAGCAGUCCAUAACAUGCUAAUUCCUUUGAUCUUGGAGCAACACGGCCAAAACACAUAUCAAAUAUAGAGUUCAGUCGCUUGGAGAAUAACCCCAGAAAGGCAUAGCUAGAAAGGCAUAGCGUCGAGGCGGCGUAUACAUGGUUUCGUUUUCAACCCUUUCGGUUUUGUUUGGGAGGGUAAUAAGGAUAUGCAUAAAAUCCCGAGAGGUUUGCAAAAGUAUAUCUUGAAUGUCAAAAGGGGCCUUUACACUAAACCUUAUCCAGAGAAAAGCAGAAAUAUAGAUGGGGUUAGGAAAGCGAAACUCAAGAGCUAGCAAAUAUCAAUCCAAUCAAGUAUAAAUAACACAAGUAUAAAUCAAAUAAAGAAGGACCCGCCGCUUCAAAAGGUUUGAUAUGCUACAGUUUACUAAUAGGAUUCUAAAAGGUCUCCAUCAGACAGAUCAAUAAACAAUCAAUACUAUGAAAAUCGUUGUCGAGCCUUGAUUAAAGGAAAAAACGGUUAUAGAAUCAUAUCCAACAUUCAUGAGAAAUGGAUUUGAAAAGGGUCCCCUACUUCUUUAUUGGAAAAAGAGAGGAGAUAGAGUUGAAGCCCUUUAAGCAUCUUUACUUAACGCAGUUCUGAUGAACAUCUGUAUAUGGGUUCGAUACACAAUUGAGCCCGAGCUGUAGGAAUUGAGAGCACUAGUGCUUUACUGCUUGGGUUUGGGGGGCAAGACUCCUUAUUACUCUUUUCACAAAGAAGAAUUUGGAAUAGCUGUAAGUUAUGUAGGAGCAGUAAGUUAUGUAGGAGCAGUGCCGGUACCUUCUCUUUCUUUAAAAGCUGUGUCCUUCCCCUUUUUCUUUAUGCGAGCUAUCUACUAAAAUGAUUGAUGUUUACAUUAGGAGGGAGAGAUCUGAAUAAAGGAAAUAGGCCCUAUUGAAUAGCUAUUGGCGCUCAAAUGAAUCUGGUAAGGUAAGACCGCCCCAUAAUUAACAAGAAAGUGUGUUUCUUUCAUAAUGAACAAUGAAUAAAAUAACCUAUAUGCUGCUUUUGUCUAGCAUUGUUGACCAAUGUGUGUUACCUACAAAAGAAGAUGAGAGAACGGGCGGACGAACAAAGGAAUUGUUAUAACACAAAGAAAGGAAGAUAGUAAGGGUAGCCUUUAGAUCAGUAGCUAGGGAACCAAGGCAAAGAGGUGUAGACGGGGCAACAGCCUUAGCUAAGGUCGCGUAAGAGCGAAAGAAGCAAUUAGAAGAGAGUAGAUAGAUACAUAACGGUAUUGAUAUAAGUAAAUAGAUAUAGUGUGAGGCUAAGGUAAAGCAAUGCAAGGUUUGGUGUCGGUAGGGGGUCUUUAAAGCAGUACUCAUAUCCAGUAUUCCUAUUUCGAUUCUGGUUAUUACUAGGCCAGGGUUCUUUCCUGUGCUACUUAGUUAAAGCCUUUGACUCAUAAGUGUUAUUCCUGGGGUUUAGAUCGGUUAUGAGAAGCAGCGGUAUCAAUCAGUAUUGGUAUAAUCAGUAUUAGAUUAGUCUAAUAAGAACAAGUAUGAGUUUUGAGUAGCAGUAUCGGUAGUGAGAUAAAAGUAGUCAACUCGGAUUGAAGUAAGUAGUCGCAUACUAAAACACGGGAUACGGAAUGCAAGUGGGGUGAAUAAGAGAAGAGCUUGAUAUAUAAAGGCCGCGGCAGGCUUUAAGCAAGUAGUGAUAGACUGCAAACACAGAGUUAUGGACUGAAUGUGGGUAAAAGGAGUCUCAGGCUGAGCCAACAUAACUAAUAAGACUCGGGUAAGAGCAUAGGCAGUUUGCUAGUUUCGAGUUCAAUUCCAAAAGCUGGGUUUUUAUACAAAAGUGGAAUAACUAUUGUCUUUUUUGCUCUAAUUACCCUAGGAAAAGACUCAUCAAUCUUGUAGAAAAUAACAUGAAAUACCAUUAAUAUAUGGUAUGAUAAUGAAUAAACCACACGCACGGAACUAAUGGCAGAGCCAAGCUCACAAGCGGGGAUCCAAGUAAGCUGCGGUAGGGCUAAGCCUAACACAAACAAGGCAAAAAGUAAGGAAAGAAAGGAUCCGUUUCCGGGGUACUAGAAUAAAAGCAAGUAUAUAGCUAGGAUCCGAUGCAGUGAUUAAAGAAAGAAAAGCACGGUAUGUUAAUACUACAGAUAACGUUAGGGCGGUAGUGUUGUUCUCACCCUGCUUAGUAAUCCUUAUUGUUGGUGUUCGUGCCACGCCCUGCUUCAUAGCUUCCCGUAGUUAGAGUAUGACUCUUCCCUACCUAAUUCUGGUAUUCCUUCCUUUUGGUUUGACCUUCCUGGCUGCCGGUCUUACUUUCCUUUAUUUCAAGAAAAAACAAGUGCCUUUCAUUCUUGACUUGGUGCUUUACCCUGCGACUACUUACUGAAAAGCUUUACUUCUUUCCCCCCCGGCUUGAAAACGGAGUUUACUUGCUUUCAUUCCGUAGCUACUGAUUUAGGCGGGGACCAAGUAAUUCCACUGCAGUAUCUAAGAGUGAAGGUGCCAAUCCACAGAAUUGAUUCCGGGUAGGAGCCUACAGGAUACCGGGCAUAGAUCUAAGGCAUUGAGACGCAUAGAAAGACUUGAGCUAGCGCCAGCAAUACCUUUCACUCAUAGCUAGGAAUGACACUGCCAACUAUCAAACAAAAACCAUCGAUACCCAAGCCAAGUCUUACUUGUUCAUUUGAUCGGGAAAUAUAUACCUUUCCUUCCUAAAUCGAGGAUCGGCCCAGACUCUACUCUGUUGAAAGAUCAUCCGCUGGAUCGGGAGGGAAAGUUGUUUACAGUUCCAGUUAAGAACAAGCUUAGGCGCUAAGAAAAGAGAUUGGUGCUAUGCUAAAGAGAAGAGAGGUUCUCGAUUGGCUUUUCCUUGUAUACGAGUUCGGGUGAUAGCCUUCUUCAGCGGUAAGUAAAUAAGUGUCAUCUCCAAUAUAAGCUCUAGGUGGACUAAGUCCUAAAUGUGAGGGUGCAGGCGAAAGACUAAGUGCAAAAGUUCCAUUGGAUUUCUGCGCUUAACGGGUCAGUGCAUCAGUUAGCUCUUAAAUUCCUUCCUUCUUAUGAACGAACAUCAUAUUGAUUUUGGACUGUUUGACAAAAGGCCCAACUCCACUAUUGGUUUUACGUCGGUAGAGAGCAAAGAGAGAUGUUCGGCAAAAGGGGAUAGAGUUUUGUAUUGAAGAAAAGCAAGUCAUUAUUUAUAAGCAAGUCAUUAUUGGAGGCUAAGUGAGUGCGCUAGGAGAUUAGGCUUCAAGUAGAGUUAUUGUUGCUGGCCACAAGAGAAAGAAUCCAUUUUGUACAUCGCGGGUAGCUUUGCCAAGAUAACAAUACGAUCUCGCCCAAGGUGCCUUACGUGAGUUUCAAUUUCAAUAGACGACCAACUAAAGUAGUAUAACCCAUGUGUGUAGUUAAGGGGAAGGGGAGUUUCAUCAGUAUUAGCUUACAGAGGAGAGGUUGAGUAGCCAGCUGCUUGGUGUUUACUGACUUGGCGGGUAGGAGUCGUUUCCUUCAUUCUUGGCAGGUAGUUGUGGUUUCAUUCCAAUACAAGGGGUUGAGUUUUGAAUCUAUCUAUAUGUAGGGAAUUGAGCAGCUAACUAAAUGAGGCUGAAACUGUUGCUUCUUAUACUUGAACUCAUGCCCUCGCCCCUAGCUUACAAGCCCCUUACUUGUUAAUUGAAAACGGACCUUACUGUAGUCAAGGCUGCCAUAUACCUCCGAUAUACCUGAACUCGGAACUAAGGUUGUCCACAACAACCAUACGGAUGACUUUGACUAUUGGAUAGUCUUCUGUAACUGCUGUGGCCCUUCCUCGAUGCCUUCCCCCCGGUUAAGCCUACAUUGCUUGUCUUUGAAACGGAGAAAUCCCACUCAAAACUAGUGCUCAUUACUAGAGAGGUUAAUCCAACUCCUAAGUAGAGGCAUGCUACUACUUAAUUACAUCUGUAUCUCUUGUUUCCAACUGAACUGACCACAGCUUCAUUCCGAUACUUCUUACUUGAGUUCUGAAAUAGCUUAUUCCGUCUUUUGGACAGGGAGCUCUAAGACUAAUAGCUAGGGGUAUGGGACUAAUCGGAAUACUUGGAAGGUACCUACUUGUACAGAAACAGAGUCAACUCCACUUUAAGAUGACCCCGUUUAUUGCUUACUUGAUAACUGCUGAUUCCUCUAAAUAACUUGUUACUGCUGGCUUUCAUUAAAGAAUGGUUACUGCCUAUGGCUUUCAUCUUUGCUUUGCGUCCUUUGUUCGUUCGUCUCCACGACUAUCCUGUUCCAAAAACGAUCCUCUUACUAAAACUAUCCUCCACCCAGCUUUCCAGGCAAGGCAAUUCUCUACGACUUAACUGUCAUGUCAACCGUACUCCAACCUGCGAGCGUAAGGCGCAAGCCAAAACCGAAGCACCUUUACCGAUAAUGCCGCGCUACUGUUCAACGCCAGUACUCUCUUUUUCCACAAAAUCACUCAUGAACUUGAAGAACCAAACCAACACAAUUACCUCUUUCAGAGACAACACUAGUACUAACCUCUUCUCUUAUCUCCAACUGACCAAUGCUUAAUUAGUUACGGUUCAUUACUUGUACUCUCUUGGCCUUCCCCGAUGUUCACAUUUGGAUUACUUACGGGGCGGGGCCGGACUUGAUCCAAGCAGAAGAGAUUCAAGAAGUAGUGACAUGACCGCCCGUACCUGUUAAUGCUCCUGAGCCGAUAGAUUCAAAUGAUAGGGUUAGACUUAUACUGUUAUUUAACACGAACCGCCAGAGGACCUUAUGCAACCAGACACCAGCCAGGUAAGGAGCCGUCGAAGGGCAAUAUAUGGAUUAAGCUCCUCCGGGAUCAGGGCAUCCAAUCACAGGCUUCAGGCCCGAAACCCGAAGAAAGAACUCUGAGUGAACAAUACAGAAUUGCUAUAUUGUGGAAUUUAUUAGUCUGGAGCCUUACACCGGAAACUUCCAAAUCUCUGACUCUUGGCUGGCCUUCCGAAAGUGACUGCCCGGCUAGGCGGCUUACUACUUAUACUUAAGGACUUAUCCCUUAUAUCUUAGCUAAGUUAAGACUACCAGCUUCUUUUCGGCAUCAACUCACUCCAAGGGAACAAGAGCCAUUAUAGCUUAUCCCUCAGGUGACUAAACUGGGUAACUUAUCUCACUUAGGCUUUCAGCACCUUACUACAACAGCUGAAAUAGCUUUUAUUCAUUCCUUCAACCCACAUGGUUUAAUUGACAUUGACCUCCUUUUUGACUAUCAUCCCACAUCUAGAGUUCGCAAUUAGUCGAAGCUCCGCCUGCCUUCUAUCUAGGUUCCGCUCUUACGUCCAAGCUUAUAAACGAUUGGCUUCACUUUGGCAGCUCGUGGUGGAGUACUAAAGAUUCGCUCUAUUAUUAUAGUGCGCCUCCUGUUCCUGAGGGAGUGAUCGGGAUGUCUUAGGUUGCCGGGUGCCUAAUAGGACUAUGUUGCUUCCUCUUACUUGUAAUCAUACCAAUUAGUGGAGCGGGGGGAGUGGGAAAAAAAGGACAUAGGAGUUCUAGAAGUGAAAGAGAGUUGAGACAGAUACGAAUCCAAGCCAACGAGGAAAGGUACGAACACGAGUUAGAGAGCCUGUUGACGGUGACUUUAAUGACUAUUCCGGCUAUAGUAGAGAUUGAUUUCUUUCUGUCUUUGCUGGUUGUUUGUGUUUAAUAGAUAUAAUCCACUCUACCAAUUCUUAUGCUUUUGCACUGGCUGGGGACUACUUGUUGGCGGGGUUGUCUCCUUGUCUAUACGUAGCUUGGCCCUCUCCCGUUUCAUUCUUUUCAUACUAAUACUACGUUCACUCCUUUAUUUCCUUAUUCGUAGCUGAGAGUGCAAUUCCCAGUUGUGAGUUAUCAGAUGAAGGGCUGCGUUGUCAGUCCUAGUUAAAGCCUAGUUCUGAGUUCCCGGGCUAGAAGCAUUAAGAAAAGUCUUUGUUCCGAGUUGAGUCCUGUAUGUUGAGGUUGGUUCUUAGAAGCUGCACCCACAUCCUUUAUUCCCAAUCUAAGUAUUAACUGCCCUAGAUCAUACCCAAGCUACUUUAUUCUAAGUUAGCAGUGAAAAACCGUGUACCUUAUGACGUUAGCAGCAGUGAAAGCCGUACAUCGAAGUUUCCUGUGUUCUACGAUUCACUCCUUAAGUCCCCAGUUUUCUUGUUGUCGGUAGUAGCAAAAUUCUGACUUAUUCACCCAAGGCUGUAGGGCUCCAUGCUAGCAUUAGCAUUUGUAUUAGUAUCCGGACUUUCCUGUUUGAUUACUCUGGGCAUUGUUGAGUUCCUACUUCGACUUGGCACUAGAUCAUACCCUCUUAGAUCAUACCCUAUUAUUAGUAUGAGUGAAGUAACAUCCCCAUUCUAAGUAUAAGUGAAGUAACAAGAUCAUACCCUAUUAUUAGUAUGAGUGAAGUAACAUCCCUAUUCUAAGUAUCCUUAGACGUCUAGUCUAUUACUAGUAUCCGAGUUGAGAGUGAAAGUCUUUGUUAGUAUUAGUUGGAUUCCUGGUAUAGAACAUAGGAAAUACCCACCAUCCGUACUUUGUUCUGCUCCUCGGGAUUCUACUCACACUAAAAGGGAUUCCCAUUCCCCCCACGCUUAGCUUUAUGGUUCAGCUACCUAUCCCUUCGGUUCCACACUAUUAGUUGUCAGUUUUCUUCAAUGAUUCUCUUGAGUUUUGUGCCGGUACACUUUCUUAUCGCCCGGCUUCCCUAGCUUCUUAUACUUGUUACGAGUAAACUAAUACAAUUACUUAUUAAGCGAUAAGUCCUGAAGCAUAAGAAAGAAAGUAUACUCGAAUGGACGACACUUUACAAUACAAUAUUGAUUUACCUGGUGCACAAGAUAACAAGCUUCGGAAUCAUAAGAUGCUGGAUCAGAAUACCCAGAAAAGAAUCCGCCUCCAAAACUCAUACUAAUCUGAUUCCAAUCCAAUCCUAAUACUAAUCUGAUUCUUUGCGCUGUUCCUAGGUGCACUCCAUUCCAUUCAAAUAACAGACUUGGAAGCAAAAGGGAAAGCCUAUGACCUCUCUUGGAGACAGGGAACUUGAAGACAGACCCGCACCCAGAUACUGAAUGUACAAAAUGCCAUUCGAGUCUAAGAACAUGGCUUCCCACUUAUAGAAUUGCCUGAUUGAGAGUUUUCCCUUCACGUAAGGAACUGAAAGUCGACACCAGAGAUAGAGGUGAUUGUGUUGCAGAAAGAUCUGAAGCGGGAUUAUCUGCUGUUAAAGGGUCAGCUGCAAUUCUAGUCUUCAAUCUCUGUUCGAAAGGAUGAACUCGCUAAUUCCAUCAUACUUGUUCUGUUGCUAAACCCACUUUCUUGCAAAACCUAUAACUCUUUAUCCAUUACUUUUGGAUUGUGAGUAGAAUGCCCCACUUAUAGAGAAAAGUAAACAAACAUCUGACUUAUUAUUGCUGACAUAUUACUAUUGCUGGCAUAUUACUUGUUGAACUCCGCUAGGCUGCCAAGCCAACCUCUGCCCUUACUUUAAGCUUUCCGGACUCAAUUGCAUGAAAGGCUUUCAGCACCUUGUGCAUUAGCUUACUCUCGGGGCGCUAACAUCUAACCAUUGUAGUCUUGCUUGCUUAACGUAUUUCAUUGGGAUAUCAAGAACAAAAAGGUUAUCCGGAAUAGGUUUACGCUUCCUUUGUUGAGGUAAGAGCAAAUGAUCUGAUUCGAGAAUUCAUCAGAAUGGAGUUAGUCAAGUCCACUAUUUCAUAGAUACCAUAGAAAUCUCAUAUAUAUAUUAGGGGGCAAGUUCCGGAUUGAUUUCCGAUAAUGGAUUAGAUCGCACAAAUAUCAAUCCCCUUUUGACAAGGCCAGGAUUCAAUCACUUACCCAACGGAAAGGGUACUAAUGGUCCAUUAAUCUCAAAAAGGAAGGCCAACCAACCCAUCUUUGACAUUUUGGUAAUCAUCCUAUUGUUCUCGAAUUGGUCCAUUGAUUGGUCAAAAAGAGAAGAAUAUGAAAUAAGAAAGAAAAGGAUCCCAUAAUCCAGGAUUUGUUGGGUCCCUUAAGCACUAUUUUACCUAAAAUAGCUAAUUUCCAUUCAUCUUACCAUUGAUAUAACUAGUAAUCAGAUCUUGUUAAAGAAAUAUUUGCUACUUUACUAGUUUCAACAGACUUUCUUAGUACUUUAAUACUGGUUCAUAGAAUCUCUGAGAAAUCCAUCCCCAUAUUAUCUGAUAUUCCACUGUUUAGUACUGUUGCUUACUGUGCUUGUGUAAAGCUGCUCUCUGUAACUCCAUUCUGCAUCUCUUUCAGUAUGGAAAUAGCCACCAACAUAUAAUCUAAUUCCAUAUUCUUUCCCUUAUCCACCAACAUAUAAUUCUAUCUUCUUUAAUUGAGUUUAUUUGGGUCCUGUAGGAUUGACGGGGCGAACUGCGAGUUUUCUGAUACAAGCAAGAUGUUCAUCCUAGCCACUAUAGAGACCUAUUUGUCCAAUUGACACGUCCGAAGGAAUCAAUGUUGGGACUUAUAGGAUCCUUAGCCAUUCAUGUGAGGAUUGGAUUGGCCAUUGGGGAUCUAUAGAGAGUCCUUUUAAUCAAUAGCUGAAAGAAAGAAAGAUCAAAAGAGGCACUGAUAGUUUAUUUAUCACCAAUUAUCCAAAUAGAUUAAUAUUCAAUGGUGGAGCAGCAAGCAAAGCAGUAAAUGAUUUCGCCUUGCUUGAAUAGGGGCAUUCCGGAAGAACAGGUUGUUCCAGCUCCAUACCGUCAAGAGUGACUAACUAUACUAUAGCAUAGGAAGAUAUUUUUCUUAGAAGUCCGUUUCCCUGCCCAUAUGUUUUCCAUCGGGGAGCCUCCCUCAUUCCUUUUAUCGAGCAUAAUGAUGCGAAUCGGGCUUUCAUAAGUGGUUUCUAAUAUGCAGCGCCAAGCAGUUCCGCUUUCUCAGUCCGAGAGGUGCAUUGUUGGAACUGGCAAUACGUAACGCUAACGCCAAACGGCUCUAGAUUAUAAAGGGGGUUGGUUUCAGCUAUAGCCGAACACGAGGGAAAAAGCAUUUCUACUACAGGAAGGUCCCAAUAACAUUUUCUCAAGUAAUAGGGAAACUUUCCGUAUUCUAUUAGUUCUCUAUCAACGGUCCAACAAAAACACUUAAAUGCAUCAAAAACCUCAGGCGGGCAUGCAUUAAUAAAGAAUCAUUUUAGCAGACGGUGCGGCUACAGUAGGUGGGGAAGGCACUUUCUUUAGGCUAAAACUUCGUAGUCGCGCUUAUAUGCAAUAGGGAAGGAAGAAGGUCAAACUUAUCUUCUGAAGACGCAGUACUAAUUAGCGAACGUCUGGUAUAUGAAGAUAUUAAUACGGAUUUGAACAUCCAGAUAUAUUCAAUUCAAACUAAUGUUACAAGCCAAGGACCAGAAAGAAUAACUAAGCCACUUAUAGAGGAUCAUUUACUCCGCUAUUUAGAAAGAAAUGGAGCAGCCUGGGAUCUUAGGUAUAAAGAGCUGAGAUUGGAGUAGGUAAAUUCAAACCUAAGACAGCAAACGAAUCGUCGCAUGCUCCAGAGGAUGGAUUAUGACGAGCCUUGACUUGCUCAUAACUCGCCGCCCAACUAACAACUAAGCUUGGCCCCUUCCCGUAAGCGCUCCGAGCAAACUCCUUGAAAGAAUGCAAAUAAACUCUAUAAUGUGCAUAUCUUAUAUCUACUCUAUAAUGUGCAUAUCUUAUAUCUACUCUAUAAUGUGCAUAUCUAUAUCUAAUAGGAAUGGUCAACUCCCUUAUUCUUUUGAGUCGCCAACAAACACAGAUUACUUGAGAACAGAAGGGGAAGGAGACGGAACUUAUAUUCUCGAUGAAACUAGCACCGACCCUCUCUCGUCGUAUGAUUGACACCGCGCUUAAAAGCCUUCUUUCUUUAUUGAAAACUGUCCCUACAGCUCUGUGAAUGCUUGCUUGCUCGUAUCAAGUCUAAAGUAAGGUAUCAUAAGAUUGGACCUUGACCCCGGGAAGAACUAACUAACGCGUAACUAAGCAGUUCUUCUCAACACCGUAAGCACUCAGGCUUGUUCUAUGCCGCUAGCUCCUCUAUUUAUUGUUCUAUGCCGCUCGUAAGAGAUAGAUUCACAAAAGAUAGAGCUGAAAUUACUACUUUUGCUUGUGCAUUAGAGAGUGUAGCUAACGGAGUGUAAAUUCCCAUAAUUAUAUGUGUUACAAGUGAAAUGUUGAUUUGUGUUCUCCUAGGCCCAAGAAGUCCCCUUUGAAGUCUAGGCCAGGCCCUACUGCAGAGCUGGAAGUCCUGUGUUUGAGGGAAAAGCGUUAAAGCCAACACCCAGUAGUGGUCCAAGUCGAGUUGGGGUGCUAGGAAAGGAGCCCAGAGCAGAGAUUGAAUCUUCAGUUACCGGUGCGGAAGUCAAGUCUCUCGUUCUAGUAACAAGUGCAGGUCCAGGUCCAGUUAUCGCCCCAACAGACUCAGCAGUAUAAAGAGAAGGAUAAUAGGCAAGAUCCGGCUUUUCUUUACUGGUUCGAUAAUAAGCUUAAUCAGAUAGAGAAGAGUUCGCCCGGAACCAUAUAUGAUACGGGAGCUAGGGUAAAUACUCCAUUCUUCUAUGCCAGGUGCUCGAUAUACUCAAUGAAAUGUUAUAAGCGCUAUGGGGGUCCUCUUAUACUCAAUUCCAUACUAGAUGCGGAUCGGAGUAGUUUCACCCUAUAUGCUAUGGGAGAGUCCGGAUCUGGAGCUGGGUAUGAAUAAGUAUUAGAAGCAAGCAAGUCCUGUCUUUGGCUAAGGUUAGGCGCUAACAGAGUUUCAAUUCCUAUGAGAUAUGGCGCAUCAGCAUCAGUGACAGUUCAGUGUCAUUUAUAACUCACUGCCGCCAACUGUUCAAGCAGAAGCAUAAGAAAGAGAAUUGUUCAAGCAGAAGCAUAAGAAAGAGAAUCCGAAUGUUACAGCAGAAAGGAUAAUGUCUUUUCUAGAUAAUUACUAUAGUAGAGUUUAGAAGUAAUAAAGUGAGUGAAUCUGUUCGUGUGCCAAAGUCAUCUGAAACUAGAGUUCGGGCAAGAUAGGGAAUUCCACAGAAGAUUUGUUUAGACCAUAGCUUCAACUUAGAGAUAGAGGCCUAACACAGCUCGCGCACAAAGCUGGAACUAGGAAGUCACCAAAACCAUAUGUAGUACCCGUACCUGGAGUGGAAUGAUUUGAGUUGUGGAAUUCUUAGUGUUAUACCUGUAGUACCAAUACCUAAGUUGCAUUUUGUUAGUACUGAGUGCAAUUCUGACCUUAGUAGCAGAAGAGGGAUAGGGAUGCGUUAAUUAACUGAGUUGUCUUACUAGGAGUUAUAUACUAAAUGCCUAAAUGCAGAGAAUUGGUAAUAUGUUUCUUUCUUUCCUUGUAGCUAGAGAUAUCCUACUUCCUGUUCAAGAGGUAGCUUGCCUGGUCACUUUCCUAGACACGGGUACUAUCUAGAGAGCAUAACCAGAAGCCUCAGAUGGAUCAUUGGAUGCUGGAUCAAGGAAGUAAGUAUCCGAGGAUUGUCCUGCUGGGAGCACUACUAGGUUUCACAAGUCCUGGUUUCGGGUGCUAAGCCUACGAUGGGGCUGGAUCAGAUGAUGCAGAAGAAGCAAGACCUGGAGAAAGAUCUUCAAAAGCCAACAAGCCAGGCCUCUUCGGGUUGUAUUCUUGUGUAGUUGGGGUUAAUAAAUAAAGUCUAGUUCGGGCGCUAAACUCGAAAGAGGGUAUUAGUUUUGUUUACUUGACUCUAGCUCUCAGUAAUGACCAGAGAAUGGACUGUAUUGCCCCUAACCUUAUUUCUUAUGAUCCUCUUCAGCGCUAAGUCAAUCAGCAGUAAGCACAUCUGUUCUUAUAAGUCUAGGUUCGGUGCUAGUGUUGUCUACGAGAGAAUUGCUUGGUAAGCUGGAUUCAAGUAAUUAGUAAGUGGUACAUUAGAUUAGCGAGUGAAACUUCAAUCACUCAUGUCGGCACCCUUUCCUGUUGAAUAUCUUUCAUAGGGAGGACCUGGCCUUUGAACAAAACCCUUCUUUCUUAUCUUCUGCUGGUUCCUAAGCAUGUUCACAAGAUCUGAUUGCAUAGUCUCUCAUAAUAGCAUGUAAUAGAUUUAUUUCCGAGCUACCGGCUUGCAACAAAGAAUGAAACGGAAUCCCUUGCUUCUGAGAAAUAGGAAUAUGCUUCCCCGACCCAAGAGUAAGCUAGAUAUAGGCACCUCGAAACCGAAAGUAGACUUACUGCGGACUAAACCUGCGCUGAAGAAGCACUUUAUUAAGAUUAUGCCCUAAACCCAGACUUGACUAGCACUGCGGAUUCUAUACUGGAAGACGAUGAAGAUAGGAACUCAACAAAUCAUUCGGAAACUGGCUGUUAGCGCAGAACUUAUAUCUACUUAAUGGACUUUGCUAGGAUAGGAAUAGGAUGAGACUGAUUGACUUAGGGUAGUGUAGUGCAUCAAAGCCAGUAAUAGCUUCUGAUCUUGUGGACAAAACUCGUAUUGGCCAACAGUAGUUAAUCGGUUAAGGCAAUUCGUGUCUUGAUUGAAGAUUGCCUAUUAUAAGAUAGGUAAAUUCAUAGAACAAAUAGAGUUUUGGAGUUGAUAGAACAAAUAGAGUUGGGGCAUCAGCAGGAGUAGAGAAUAAAGAGAAGAUACUUGCGCCGAAACAGGAGUAGAAUCAUUAGCCUGUAUCCGGAGUGUCAAGAUAAGAUACGGGAUAAGGUGAAGGUGAGGAAUACUGAUCUUCGGUAGGUAAAGAAUAUAGAGCUUUCUCUCUGAUGCUAAAGAAUCCGCUGGUCCUGUUAGCACCCAAUAGUCGUGGAGUUCCUCGUCGAAUUCGGUAUACCUAUACUCUGGCUACUCGGGAGGACGCCCAUUAUUAAAGAUGGAAAGUCCGGGUUUGAGAGUUAUAAACGAGUAUUGUUUUCGCCUGUCCGGGGUAGUCAAUUAGGGAGUAUCGGUUGGAAAUGAAUAAAGUCAAGGCUUUGUUGCGAGGUGUGAGCUAGGUCAGUGAUUCUUAUUGGAAUACCAGGUCCUGUAGUUGUAGAGAGGGAAGCCGGAGUGGAAAGAGAUGAGAUGAGCCUUUGUUAGAUUAGAUGAGAGCCAUAGGAUAGGCUUAAUUAAGUGCUUGUGUUAAGCAUAGAAGAAAUCUAGAAUAUUUGUUAGCUUGUCCCCUCCUAAAUGGGAUCUUUUCUUUAUAUAUGAUGAAACUCACUCGGGUCGGGGUGAACACUUAUUAGAGGUCGGGUCUCAUAAGAAAGAAAGUAUAGUUUAGGUUGCCAGGUAGCUGGGUGUUAGAGAGAGUGGAGUCUAGGCCCUUAUAGUAUGUUGGAAAGUACUGGCUAGCUGUUCAGGGAAAUAAGUUUGAACUCCUUAAAACAGUUGUAUUUUAGGUACUUAGGUGUCUUCUCUGUUCUGUAGCAAGCAAGAGUCUAAACGGUCUUAUUCUUGCCCAACCCCAGUACGGGUAGUUAAGUAGGAGACAAACAACUAAUAAAGGGGAUGAAACUAUCAAGUAGGAAAGUCAGAAUGAAAGUCGUUACUUGGCCGCCUUUCGUCGUUGCUUGGCCCCCGCUUGCAGCUUACUUCAGAGCUGUUGAUUCGAGAGACCCCCGAUCAUGUGCUUACUUACUUUAAGAAUAGAGUUUUAUACUUUUCCUGAGUGAACCUGUGCCCUUAAUUAGUGGGCCAAGCGUAUACUAAGUGCUUUUGAGUCUGCUGAAUCCGUAUCUGUAUCAGGAGCCUCAUCCAAGUUAUCAACUUUGCCAACAACAAGAACUGGCCAAUCAACUGAUUCUGCUUGAGUUUCAUUAUUAUGCCACUUAUAUACCUGCCAUCAAGGGAAGCGGGAACAAAGACAGGACAAAGAAUUCCAUUACAAUAGAGAAGGUAGAAAACCACUUAUAUAUCCGCAGAGGUAGGCCAAGUAGUGCUUCAUGCCCCAAAGAGGUAGACAAUCAGUUGACUAAACCCCGGGGCAGGGAGGAUAGAGUGAGUUCAGGUCGGGUGUUCAAGUUGUCUAGGUUGGUGCUCCAGCUCCAGUAGUGUAUUGGACCUAUCAAAUUCAUUAAUAUCUUAUUAUAGAUUACAUUUAGGAUGAAACUCGGGAUGGUGCCUAUAUAGAACCCGUCCUGGGUAGUCAAUAUAGAUGUCCGGGGGAGUCAAUGCCCCUGAAAGUAGUAGUGCACACCUGUUAUAGAAUUCAAUCCAAAAAGUAGAGUUGUUGGCUUGCAGCUAGGUUCGAGUAUGGUUCGCUUGAGUCUAGGUAUUGUUUGACUUUCAUCCUUUUGAAAUAGAUAAUGGAAUCCAAAUUUGUUGCUGUAGUGACUUGGCUCAUAGCAAAUAAAGAAAUAGUAUUAGGACUUUUGUUCUACUUGCCUAGUGUCUUGUCUGCGUUUCUCUUGCUCUCGUACUGUAGCUUGUCGUCUUGUCUGCUUGGCCCUGGUUUUGAGUUACAGCGCUGUUAGCAUUGGUUCCACUCUCUUGAUUAGUGGAAUUACCUGUUUUGAGUUCAAGAGUUAAGAAAGAGGAUUUCAAGAGUUAAGAAAUAGGAUUUCAAUAGUUAAGAAAUAGGAUUGAAGUCUGCUGCCCCAGGUCCAGGUCCAAAGUAAGGUAAAGAAAAUGCACCGAUCAUCCGAAAUAUCGGUUCACUUAUUUAAUGAUAUUACAAGGGUCGGGGUCGGGGUGUAAUAGAAGACAUAGGAAUGAGUCGUGACGGCGUAGUUACUUGGCCAUUAGUAGUUGCUUGGCCCGGCACAGUAGAGGAAAGCCUACUAGAUGCUAUAUUAUCCUUAUUAAGGAUGACAGAUCAAACUAAGGAGUCAAACCGGGGAUAGGAUCCAAUCCAUCUUUGGCUUCGGCUUUAGCCUCUUAUUCUUAUUAAACUCGGGAUGAAACUAUAGUACAGGCUUGGAGAGAAAGAGUUAAUGGUUGGAAGGUUACCUAUUCUAUUUCAAUAUGUGCUAUCGUAGUUGCUCUAGGAUAACGGAUUCCACAGGAAAUCUCUCUCCUCACUGACAACCCUCGCUACGAACCUAGACAAUUAUAACUUGACAUACUUUAGAGGAUAGAUAGGCGUUAACACUAGAGGCCCUUAUUGUAAGUUUCGGGAAGGUAGAAUCUGUCACCAAGGAAAAGAGGUCGACAAGGUCAGUUGAGUUAGCCGUUGCGCAAGGGAACCAGCAAGCAAUUCAACAAGUUCGGUUAUUAAAGUGGAGUCUUGUUCGAGGCAUAAUCUAGUACUUGCUUUGAAACGAGGUGUACAAAAGUCGAGAGAGUAUCUAAAAUAAGUGUUGGUUUGGGUUCAGAAAGUGGAGGAAAUUCCGUAUUUCGAGUUAACCCUUGUGCCUCUGUCUGUCCUUAAUUCUUCCAUUCCCUCUUAAGCCCUUGUGCCUCUGUCCAAUGUGUGUUGCCUAUGCCUUUGUGCUUGAAUGUAUUGCCUAUGCCCUUCAAGCAGAAGCAAUUGAGUGCUACUAAAGCCAUAAAUAAUAUGAGUAUAAAUGAAGCAUGCCACACCUUUCCUAAGGUGCAUUCGCAUUCUGUCUUCUUUACAUUCCAAAUAAAACAAUUGAACUUGACAUGGCACGCAAAGAAAGGGAAAAAGCCAUGAGCAGAGCUCUACGGGGAAAAGCCUAGUAUUAAAGGUGAGGUAAAAUUCCUACCCAUUAGAUAUGCGCACUAGAUCAAAUAUUUCAAUGAAGCGCAUGCAUCAGUUCAGAAAUGUUGAUUUGAGUUGCACGAUAGGAGUUUUGACGUGUUAGGGAGCAGCAAGCGGGUAAUCUUCAAGGGGAGUAAUUGUAUCAUUGUCAGCCGCAAGCGAGUAAUCAGAACUUCCAGUCGGGGGUAAAGGGAAUAAUCCAGUGUAUUGGCGUAGCAGCUAAGGGAAGAAAAUCAGAUAGUACGCGCAGGAAAGUCAGAACUAUACUGGAGAGGAAGAAACGGAGACAUUGUUGUUACCCGCUGCUAGGCAUUCUAUAAGUAGGUAAACAACCAUAGUUCAUCAAGGAGAGUUCCAUUGUGUCUGGCUCAACAAGUAAAGAGAACUCAGUUAGCGCUUCUAACUCCUUAUUUUAAGCUUUAAGCACGAAUAUCUGUUUCGAGCUCCUUUCCGAGAUACUUUCAUUGCAUCUUUUCCUGCUUAGCUUCUAAUACUUCUUCGGCUUUCAGAUACGGAACCUGAUCCUACUCUUGGUAAGACUUCUGCGCUCUCCAGUGAAGAAUUGCGAGUAGAAAGUUUUCAUUGAAGAAUAGAAUGGCUGUCGGCACCCUGCUGUAUACUGCUUGCAAGUAUUGGUAGGGUAGCAGCGAGAUGGUUUACUUAGCACUCUCACUGUUUACUUGUUCGAAUGAAUAACAUUAAUAAGAUUCUCUCUCUCUUUUGCAUAUUCUAUAAUUACUGACACUCCUGCGAAACUCUACAACACUAUCAUCACAAGUAAGGCCGGCAUAGAGGUCACUUUUACCAGGCCGAGACAUAAAGGGAACUCGCUGGAAAUGUUCUGCUUGCUAACAUUGCAUAGGAGCACUCCCACUAAGCUCACGUUAGCCCUUUGCUUGCUUGUUCUCUCAACUCGACGAUGAAAAAAGGAAUGGAAUGCACAACCCAUAUAUGAGUUUGUAGUCACCUAACAAAACACGUGUACUGCUGACUUGAAGCUCUAAUGACUUUUAUCUGCUCCUGAUAUCCCUUCCCUAUGGAGAAGCCCUUAUGUGUUGUUCCCUGCCUGAACACAAUAAUAAGUAAGAGCGCCCCGAAGGACUCUAAAGAAUGGAAUUUCUGAAAGCAGCUCAUAACUCCUAAUGCUAUGAAUUGCAUUUCAAUAUUCUCUCUUGCAUAGUAUGUAAGAUAUGAUUUCUCAAGAAUCAAACGCGAUUGCCUAGGAUAUAAUAUCUGAAUGUGAAAAACACAGAGCAUAGCUUCGAACCGGACAUUGGCACUUGCGAGGAGAGAGUGCGCCCACCUUAGGUAAUUAUGUAACCUGAUUGCUUACUCAUGAAACAAAAACAGCUACAAAACUCUUCAAUUCCAAAUCAAUAUUAGAUAGAGGCGCCCGAUCAAGUGCACAAGGGCUUGCGAAACUGUUUCUAUUUUGCAUUUCAUGCGCUUGCUCAGUUCUUGGAGUUGUGCUAACAGAGGUUCUUCAAGGAUGGUUUCUUUUGGUCCUAGUGUUGGCGCAAGAAGAGGUGUAGCAGUUAGUUAAAGCUAAAGUUGGGUCAUCCGCAAGCAACGAAGCUGGACAAGAAGUUGCAUCCUAGUAAGCGGGACAAUCCGUAUAGCUUUUAUCGUCUAAUAAGCCAUGUUUCUAAUAAAUGAAUGGAAUGGAAUAGGCAUUGAGGAAAAAGUGGGAAUUGGAAGAAUGGAAUUCAGUAUCCAAGAAUUCCACUAGGGAAGCAAUGGAAGGUAUUGGCUAAAGCCUAGGCGCGGGUAGUUUACUUGCUUGUUAUAGGCUAGUUGACUUACUUGUUUUGGUGGUUACUCUACUGCAGGUUCGGUGCUUGGAAGCAAUGUUGCUAAUGUUGCUAAGGUUGCUAAUGUUUCUAAGGUAGCUAAGGUAGCUAAUAUAACAGAUGGGGGCAAUCGGUAGGCUUACUACUGACUACUGGGUAUUAUUGCGGGUUCCAAUUUAGAUUAGUGCUUCCUAGAAACUCUGAGAGAGCAGCGCAGAAGAAGAGGCAAAAGAAGAGAGAAAAAGAGAGAAUUCGGUAGAGAGCGAAACGGCAAAGCCAGAGCAAUCAGGGAUAACAAGGAAGAAGAACACAGAACAGACAGAGAAAGAAACCAGUUGCUCACUAGGAACUAACAUAACUCUUGACAUCAGUGGAACGGUGGGCUAUUGUAUGUUCGGGUUCUUAAAUAAGACAUAAGCAAAUAAUACAGGUAAGACAUAAGCAAAUAAUACAGGGUGGUACUCCUUCGGAGAACUUAGAAACACUUUAUUAAUAAUUUGUCAAAGAAUAGUUUUCUCAUUUCGAAUUAUUUUAUGGAAUUUGGUAUUUCAUUUGAAUUUGUAUUAUCUUAUUUCAUUUGAUUAGUUUGCAAUAAGGAGGAAAGCCAAAGCGGAGGAAGAAGAAAAGGACUAUAUACUGACGAAAAAAGAAAGCAAGGAAACAAAGAAAGCAUGCAGAGAAACCAUUUAUAGCAACGAGGACAAGAUAACGAAAACGUGGGAGCCGACACGGGGAAAAUAGGCUAACAAUCUUCUUGUGGGAGCGACGCUCGAUAGCCAUGGAAUAACUCUAAGGUACGAUGAACUGCACAACUAGCCAAACAAUUCAGAAGUCCAAUUUCAGAAAGUAUGUACUAGUGACACUCUCAAGAGCUGAUGCAACCCAACAGAGAGCUAACAUACAAAAGUCAGAUAGAGUUAGUUCGGGGCGGGUGCUUGUGCUAGUGAGAAUGAAACCGGGUAGACGUAGACUCAUAAUUGAACUAGCAGGUAUAAGCCCUAAAACCAGUGCAUCAAGGACAAGAAUCAAACUAGUGAGGAGCAGCCUGAAAGCAAGGGUAGCUAGAAUGAGAAUGAGGAGUGACGGGCUGAAACCACCACCACUGAGAAUGUGCCCCAUGAGUUACAGCCUACCCGACCCGAGUCACAGAAUAGAGCUGACCAAUCACAGAAUUGAGCUAGUCCACUGAGCUACUAAAUACAGAAUCAACCUAGCAACUAUCAGAACCCGAAGAGCCAAGUAACUACAAAUGUGAUGCGGCAGUCCCCUUACCGUUCACCUAUAUAAAGAGAAGAGAGAAUUAAGUAUGGGACAAGUAACUACUAAUGUGACGCGGCAGCCCCUCCUUCCGUUUUCUUUCCUUAAUAAAGUUCUAGCUAUUUUCUUCUACUUCACUUAUACUGUGUUGGUAUACGGGUUUCCAAAGUGGUUUUUCAGGAUUAACAGCGUUCGGUGGUGUCUAUUGCGGGUUCCAAUCAUGACUAGUUGGUCCUAGCGUACUGAAGGCAGCCAUCAACUCGUCGGUACGAAGGUGCGGAAGGCAGACAUCAUCGUGUAGGUAAGAGGGGACGGAAGGCAGACAUCAUCGUGUAGGUAAGAGGGGGCGGAAGGCAGCCAACCACUUUAGUGAAGGAAUGUCGAAAGUCACUUCACCAUAAAGAAUAGGGUUCAAAAAGCACUAGAACAUAACAAAAGUCGUUUUAUGGGAAAUCCUUCUAAAAAUGGGGGCACAGAAGAACGGCAGGUCCGCUAGUCAAUUGCUUGAAUCUAUACCACACUCGAUAGAUGAAAUGAAAUAAAUGCGGAUUGCCCCUUUCUUUCUUAAAGGAACAGGAGUAGUUGACAUUGCCAGUGAAAUUGAUCUGCCAGAAUUCUGAAGUUGACUCUAAGCUAACUGUAGGAAUCGCUACAAGCUCUGGGGCAAGGUAAGGAUGGGGUGCGGCCUAAGACCCUGUGGUGGAGAGGUAGCUUGCAUGAGUUAAUGACCGAUCAAAGAAUGAGUUCGCCGACACACCUAUUGUUGCUCGACCCAGCCCAGUUGCCCGUGCCUCGAUGAAUGAAUGGCCCUACCCGCCUUCCUUUAUUAUUGUUGAUCGCAACUCCAUGAAUGAGAGAUUACCCCCGUUGACUGAGUUAAUGACCGAUCAGAGACUAAUAGAUGCUACCCCAAGGCUUAGUUGUGUUACUCGGAUAAGGAGAAUGAGCGGUACUACUAGAAGAAUUAGCUCUGUUUGGAGGUGACUCAUAUAAACCCAAUAAGAAUACUGCCUAACAAGUAAGUGAACCACCCUACUACAUUGAUGGACUAUGAUAAUAAAAUAGAGAAAUCAGAAUUAGUUCGUGGUCGCUCGUGGACUGAUUGGUUAUACCUUUCAGAAUGAGUUGCCGACGUAGCUAAUGGGGAACAAAGAAUGAGUCAUAUAGUAGGCCCGCUCCUAUUAGUAGGCCCGCAGCUCCUCUUCUUUCCUCUUUCACUCUCCCUCUCUUGUUUAACCCUACCAUUACUUCCUUGAAAACGAAAACGACUACCUGCGCUACCUCACCAGUUGCUCGCACGCCCCUCCAUGAAUGAGAUAUGAUCCACAGAGACUUAGUUGAUGGCCGAUCAAGGAAUUAGUUGUGCCACUUGAAGACUAUGUUAUGUUACUUUCGGACUGAGCUAGGGGAAUUGAAGAAUGAGUUAUCUUCUGACAAGAGCUAGUGACCCGACUUGAGGAGUGAGUUUUCCUACAAACGUUUAUUGGUGACCGACCCCAUCGAUGCACGUCCGCUGGCCUUUCACCCAAUUCAUUAACUUAACGAUAUUGCCCGAACCCUUCGAUGCACCACCGAACGAACAGAACAAAGACAGAGUAGCUGGACCAGAGCAAAGAACGAGUGUGUGGACGACCGAAGCCUUUAACUAGAAAUACCAACGCAUGUUGUUUCGCACACCCAAUGCAUGGUCUUUGGGUAGGUAAGGGAAUAGCUUCUUUUGGUCAGUAUCAGUAAGGGAAUAGCUUGUGCGUGUAGCAAUUCAAUAUAUAUGUUUUGUAUAGCCAAUAAGAAUUCGAUUAUGGUUGUAAGAGGUCUACUCUGACUGGAACAUCUAGCCGAGGGACAUGGGAGAAUCCAAACUACAAGAGAAUAUUAGUAUAUGAAAACACAUUCCAAUAUAUGCUAAUAAAUUAUGGUAUUAUUCCCUAGCUACAGCUUAGAUCAAUUCUUCCAUUAAAGUGCUUAAUUCUCUUAUAGUGGAGCUGGCUUUCUGAUUUCAAAUAUCAUUCAUUUUCCACUGCUUUGUAGUUAUUAUCUCUGGUUGGUGUAGGCAUUCUUCCACUGCUGAGGUGAACAAGUGAGGCUCGGACUAUUGAGUGGAAAUUCACUCCCAUGUUACUUAUUCUUAUUACUAUUAUAGUAUAUGCACUGGAUCGUACCAAUACUCCCGAGUUUGGUUCUAUGUGCUUACCCACCCUUUCGAUUCUAUGUCCGACAACUUAUUCUUCAUCUAUGUGCUGUGGAUCGUGCCUGUAUUCUCUAUUCUGAUUAGAAUUAUUAUUCUGAUUGAACUUUAGCAGUUUAUUAUGAUGAUAACUUAUGCAGUCAAUCACGAUACUAGUCUAAGGUGCGGUAAGGCAAGGCAAAAUGGCAGGAUAGUAUGAGUUAGAGUCAAGGGGGGUAGGCUCCAUAGUUAGGUUAAAGAGUUAGCCCGAAGCAAGUGAGGCUCCGUAUCUGUGUUUAUAGCCUUCAAAGUGUUAGCUGGUUUCCCCGUUGCUGGAGUACUUUUGAGUUCUUGUUUACAUUGGUUACAGCCCAGUGAGUACUAGUUUUGUUCUCGUUAUUAGUGUCAAAUUCUGAUUAAUGGUGAUUGGAUUCCCGGGAGCAAGUAAAGGUCUUGCUAGUUUGAUAUUAAUGUUCCCUUUUUCAAGUUCAAGUAAGAGAAGCACUUGUUCAACGUCCUCCUUUUGGUAGAUCAUUGCCGUUGAUCCUAGCAAUGAAGAAAAAGGCUAUUCCUUUAGCUGGGCACGCUGGGCAGUAAGAUGUUAACUCCGCUUUUGCAGAUACUCUUGCCGUUGAAGGAACAAACGCAAUAGCCAUAGAGUAGUCAAUACCCGGAUAACAGUCAAUGGAUUUAGGAAAGAAAGGUCCCAGCCCAAGUGAUAGAGUGGCCAAGCCAAGUAAAAGCACUUCGCCCGAUAGCUAGGGGAGAUAUUCUAGUUUACAAGGAAAGAUCAGAGUCUGAUUACCUUAAAUAGGCACUGAAAGCAGGAAGCAUCACAUUAUUAUUCUUUUAUGAGACUACCCACCAAGCAGCCGAACAUAGGACAGGCAAGCCCCGCGCCUGACGCGUCACAUUAGUAGUGACUUGGUGCAUCUACAUCUAGUAAUUUCCCUCAGUAGUAACAGUAUCGGUGGGAAAGGGAAGCAGUUCAGUCAGAUUUGUUGGUUAGUAAGUAAGGCCAGGCCGGGAAGCAGUAAAGGAAGGCUUACAAUCGCACAUAAGGUUUUGAAGGCAUUAGUUUCAGUUUGCUAUUAGGGAGUGGUAGGGCGAGCUAAAGGAUAGUAGGGGAGCUACAUAAAGUCAGAGUCUAAUCCUUGGAGGGGAAAUCCGGAAUGCAAUGAGCAAUACCUGAGAAUGAAAACAGGCAAACUCUCCUGGCUAUCAAAUACAACUAUAGGAAUCCUACUAAUGGGAAUAAGAGCAGAGGUGUGGACCCUACAGUCUGGUUUGUUGAGUUAACCAGCCCUUCCUCGAUAUCAUUCCUACUUUACUGAGAACAACACUCCUAGCUUUCGUUCUUAGAUGCCGAACACAGGACUUGGUCAUAACAGGAGCAGCCAAUUCUGGAAUCCUUAAUAAAGAUAUAUGAAAUUAACCGCCAAGACACGCAAAGACAACUAGAAACAUAAAUGCACAUAAACAGUUAUGCUUGCUCUCUUACUCCCUAUGUGUUCUGUGUCGCGGCAGCCAAAAAACAGUUCUUAUAUGAUAUGUACAAAUCCUGUUUACACCCUACUAUUUGUUUAGUGUGUUAGUACUGGAAAAUGAUCUCGACUUUUCUGCAACUAGCGGCACUGCCGCGGAACACUAGUAGUUACUUGGCUCUCAUUGAUUGUUUUUCCAAGGUCAGAAACAGAAGCCUACCCUCGCCUCGCAUCAAACCCAUCAAAAGUGCUUUCUUAGACCAUCAAUCUUAUAGUUAGAGAGGACUUUUCUUGCCCCUCAGGGGGUGGUCAGUGUUCUUUUUUACCUAACACUCAAAAAGAUGCGAAAUACAGCAUUUCCAGCCCUAUUCUUAUAAUUCCAAAACCCGACCCCUUAACUAAACACAUGAUGGGCAAAACGGGACCCCUACCCAUACUAGCAAGUCAGUAAACAAAACAACCCCGUAACUACACAAAGGAAAUAGGAUUCCACAGCCAAUCUCUCUUCUAUGGCACCCGAGACUUGGAGCUAGGCUUAGGCGCAACCACAUCUAUGACAUUCUGGUUUCUUUAAUAAUAACAGAUAUAUUUCUAGCUUUCCUACUAGCUUACCUCUUAGUUGAAUUCUGAAACUACUUCUUAUCUUAUUGGACUUCUGGUCCUAGGGAAGAAGAAGAAUCAAAGCCAGGACUUAUAGUCAUUUUCGGUAGCACUACGGACAGAGACUACCUGGUUGCAUUCUUAAGUACCAACUAGCAGACAGGGAAUCGAUACCUUAGCUACCCUUGGUUUCAGCCUUAGUAGCUGUAGUUUCAGUCUUAGAUGCCCUGGUUUGAGUCUUCUAUUAGUUAGCUCCGUUCUUUGACCUGCCAAGUGCAAUUCUGUCCCUGACUGGUUGAAUUCUUUACUGCUUAAUGGGUAAAGUCUUACCCGGUGGAUCAAUGGUUAAGGCUGUUACUCCCGAGUUUGAGUCUUGCACUGACUGGGUUGAGUCCGAUACCUGCUUAGGGACAUUCUUGGACUCCCCGGUUGCAUUCUCAGUAGACACCGCAUCAGGCUUGGAAGCAAUAGUAUCGGUCUGGUCGGUACCGAUAUCAGGCUUGCACUUCCCUGUUUGGUUCUUGGACUACCUUGUUUUAGGCUGUAACUCCAUAGCUUCAGUCUUACUACCAUCAGCUCUAUUCUUGCACCGAUCAGCUUCAUUCUCUAACUCCUUAGCUACAGUCUCUAACUCGCUGGUUUCAGUCUGCCUAGACACCGUAUAAGGCUUGCACCGAUCAGCUCCAUUCUACCCAGCACUGGUUGUAGUCUGGUCAGUAGUAGCUAUAGCCUUGGACUUACUGCUUUGAUUCUGCCACUCCCUUGUUUUAGUCUUAAAGGAGUGAGCUCCAUCCUAUGCCUUACCCGGUUCAGUCUGGUAGUUGUUGGUAUCAGUCUUUGCCUCGGGUCGGGUAGGCUUUGACUCCUUAGUUGGAUUCUAAGUGUGCCUAGCUUAGGUCUGCCCAGCACUGGUUGGAGUAUGCCUAUGCCUGGGUGAAGUCUUGAUAGUAUCGGUUUCGUUCUGUCACUGCUGAGGUCAAUUCUGAUCUGAGUAAGAGACAUAGGCAGGAAUCGACAUGGGCAGGAAUCAGUGGGAGUAGUUGAAGUCUAGCUGUUAGUGCACCGGUUCUGCUGGUUGGUAGUCGAAGGCUGGUUGACGGCAGUGAGUUAAAGCGCGGUAGGGAGCUAAAACGAGUUGCUUUUGUGCCUAUAUCUUUAGGGUCGGUAACUAACCAUGUGCAGUUGCUUGUCUAAUAGUUCCUUGGCCCAGCUACUACUAAGUGCUUUGGUCGGCUCGGGAAGAAAUAGUCAAUAUAGGUGAUAACUACUAGGUACUCCAAAUGAGAUACUAGAUUUGGAUUAGCUGGCUUUCACACCAGAUAGAGAGUAGAGUGACUUGGCUCAGUGGAGUUUUAGGCCUUGCCCCUUUUUAGUGGUCAAUACAAUAUUCAAGAGGCGUCAAGUUAAUUCUAAGGACAGUUUCUUAGUUUCAAUGAUGUUUCUGUUCGAAAUGAGGAGGAAGCUCCUAAGGGAGUAUUUUCUAGAUCUUGGUAAUAAGGAUAGAGGUAAUAAGAAUAACAGAGUUGGGUAUGCAAGAGAGUCAAAUAAAUAUGAAACAAGGCGCUCUCAAGAUGAAAGAAAUCAAUCUUUUCCGGCUCUGCGCUCAAUUCCAAUAUUUGUAUUAGAUUAAUAUAGGAUAUAGAUUCAACUUCAUUAAGGAGAGAGAUUCCACUUAUAUAAGGAUAGAGAGAGAUUCCACUUAUAUAAGGAUAGAGAUUCCACUUGACUUCAAUUACUGUUUGACUCGGUAAGGAUGGAUAUUCCACUUGACUUCAAUUACUGUUUGACUCGGCCUCUUAGCACUAUAAUAAAUACUCUAAAGUUCUAUUCUUGGUGGACUUGCUCGCUCGUAAGGGAGUUGACCUGACAGCCCUAGAUUCCAUGGAUGUGUUUGCGAGAGGAGCAGCUUAAUUCCAUAAUUAUAGGAGUUGUGUUGAUGCAGAGAAUAUUUCAAUGAAGUGCGUCAGGCGCUAACGGAGCUGACAAUUUCCAGUUUGCCGGGUAUAGGAAAGUUUCGUUAGUUCUAGUUAAGUCUUAGAGCGGUGCUUUACUUUAAUCAUAUAAAGAAUAAGAUCUCUUUUCAUGCCCAAGAUAGAAUAUAAGCCCCGAAGUAAGAGAAUGUGAGUUCGCCGUUGACAGUUUGUUUCUAGAGCAAGAACUCACCUUAGCACAAGGGAAUAAACUCGGAAUUGACUUGAAAGCACAAGGGAAUCACCCGGAAUUGAAUAAAAGAAAAUAGAACUCACCUAACUCACCAAUUCAUAUAAUUGAGAAACUUGACCUCACUACUAAACUAGAAAUGGAAAACUCAACUAAUAUCGCCCACUCAAGUGGACAACAGCUUGUAUCAUAGGCGCCCGGCCCGUGGACAAGACAACGGCUUGCGUCAAUACUUCAUUCAAUGGAAUCUUCCCCUAAUGCAAAACUCCUAACCUAAUGCCUCUGGUGCUGUUGCUUCUGCUGUUCCCUUGCUUGCUAAUGGGGCCCGCUUGCAACAUGGAAUUUCCUAUUUCUAUCUCUUGCUUAGCACCCGACCUCGUAAGUUAAGAAUGUAAUCUCUAUCGAGCACCCAGUGAAGAAUUGAAUGAAGUACAGACCCCUAAAACAGGACUUGGUUCUAAUUGGCGGGGGGCUGAUUUGAGCACCGCUUCUAAUCCAUCUCAUGAUCUGGCUUCUACUUUCACUUCAACUAGAACAGGAACUUGCCUACAAAGAUCUCCAAGAACGACACUUGACUUUACUCGCACAGAUCCUUAUCCUUAUUCUUCUGGAACUUGAACAGACUUUCGAGCAACACAUGAGUACCAAGUAUAUAAAGAAUCAAGUAAAUACACGGACUGCAUCCAUUAUCUUUUGACUGGAACCGCUUGCUCUGCUGCUUUCUCCGUUAGUUCUAGUCAAUAGAAUCGGGUCAGGUCAAUAGAACCGAGCUCCUACAGCUACUAUAUUACUUGAGCAAAGGAAAAAAGAAGAGUAUGCUGACAGACGGAAGGGAGUUCCAGAGAUAUUCUCCACAGCUUUCAGGAACGAGCUCCUUUACCACACACAUCCUGUAGACUCGGGAAAGCUUUCAAUCAGACUAAGGUAAAGCGCCAAUAACAGAUUGACUUAGGGCAGAAAAAUCCCGUUCCCGUCCCUAGCUGUCAAGACAGUGACAGUUUUGUCUUAAGUAAAAGAUUGAUUUCAUCACUGAUGUUAUAUAUAACCUAGGAGUGGAAGGGCAUUACACAUAGGAAUUUCCAAGACUACUCUCAUUGUAGCUGACUCGUCGCCAACACCAAUAUACCUAAAGCAGCUUCUACAACUGAUUCAUGUCUUUCUCCUUCUGUUGCUUCUAUUCCGUCUUUGGAUCUUGUCGACUCUACUUUACUUCCUGCUUCGCUUGUUGUGAAAGCCUGAGUUUUAGUAGUGUAAGAUUAGCCAUUUUAUUGGUUAAUAGGCGUUAAAGGACUAUUAUGGGUGGGAUUCUGACCUUAUAAAGCUCCUGAUCUUGUAUCUGCUCUCUAUGACUUUCAUCGCACCUACCGAGUAGAGUCUGGUUGUUUACUCAUCAUAUGCUCAAUUCUAUUGAAACUAAAUGAUUAUUUGCGCUACUCCUAUUCUAGGUGCACUAUCCUUAAUGAAAGAAGCAACGGAAGACUAGUUGUGCUAACGCGAGUCCGCUUGUUAUAAGCUAUGCAAUGGUUGGUUACUAACAUCUCUGUCAGUGGGGAGUUCUAUUCUAUUCUUUUGACGAACUAUCUCCCUAAAGUGAAGAAUUCAUUGAAUCUUGAUCUCCGGAUGGCGAAGCGAAGGAGUGUCCACCUUCUCAAUAUUAUAUUCAAUACUCUACUAUAUUCCCUUCUAUUUGCUUGCUCGUUUCAAAUGAACGACUAAUAAUGGAAUGAGUUUAAGCUGACUGCUGACUCACAACUUGAGUAACCUAACAAAACACCUAUUACUUGCAGGCUCAAUGCGUAACGGCUAACUCAACUGUCUGACGAAUGUCAUCAAGAUAAACUCAGUAAGCCUAAGUGCGUAAGCGAGUUCUUUCCGAGCAGUAGGGAGAGUAAGGCCAGUCAAUUACUACUUUAUGGAAUCAGACCUUAAGGCUAAGGCACAACACCGAAACAAAGAAAAGGGCCAAGCAACGUUUAGCCUAGUAGUAGAGUAGUUGGCUUACCGGAGAUCAGUAUCAUAGGCAAAAGAGAUAGAUCAAAUAAAUUCUUUGUUUACUUCAGAUCCACUGGUGCCUAGCCUUGUAUCGGUCCUGUUUUGCCAUGUGUCUAGUUAAGGGAUAGGCUGGUUUACUGACUUAGUUGACAGAGAAUAGGAUUCAGUGCUUGUGUUAAGCAAUGAGGAAAAGAUAUAAUAGUGUGGCUCUGAUCCCUACUUGUCCCCUACUGAAUUCCAUCUGUUCUUAUUAAGGAUUUAGUUGAGAAAGAUAGAAGCUCCACAGGGUCGGGGUUAACUCAAAGGUAAGAGCCAAGCGUAUACUAUACUAGUAAAGGAGUCCGGAGUCAAAGGUGUGGAGGUCGGGUCGGAGAUACUUGCUAUGUGCUCGGGAGCUUGAGUUAGAUUAGCCUCAUGAAGUUAUUAGUUGACAGAGCCAGAGAGAGAUAUCCGGAGUUGCUAUAAGUCUAGGCCUAACUAGUAGUAGGCUUUCAGCACCUUGUUGAGUUUAGUAGUUGCCAGCAGUAAGUGGGAAGUCUCAAAGAUCUGAGUAAGGAUCCGGUGAAGCGGGAAGGAAAUCGAGAAAGAAAUCAAGUCACUAAUGAGUGAAAAGAGCCAGAGGUAUCAGAGCCCUAGGUAAGAGGUCACAGAGAAGGUAGUCAAGAGACCUGUUCCAGCCCUGUUAAUGGUGAGAGUGGAACAGUAGUUAGAAAGUCUUAGUUCCCCCUGGUUGCUUCUUUUAUUCCCUCGUUUGAUAUGCCCUUAUUGUAAGUUGAGGCAAGGUAUACAAUUGGUAUUGAAUUGAAGUAAACUAGUGGGCUAUAAGAAGACCGGGUUUCCUCUGUGUUUGCUGGGUCUGCAAGGAAGCAUAAAAUAGUCUCUUGAGCACCGGAGUUAGCCACUGGUAGAUCAGCAGAAUCAUAAGUGGAAAGAGCAGAUACGGGAACUGAUGCAAUCUCUAUAUGAUAUGUGCUAGAUCUAUCCCUAUAACUAUUCUUAUUGAAACAAAUAGAUGAAACAAUAGAUUGAACUCGGGAUGAAACACGAGCAAGAGCAUCUCUUUCUGUUCGCCUAGUACGAAUGGAAUCCCCAGCAAGUAGUGGCCCAUUUGAAUCUUUAGGUGUUGGCUAAAGUCCAGGUCUAGGUAAGGAUGCUACCAGUGCAACUACUACCGGGAUGAAGACUUACUUGCCUUAUACCAGAUGCGGAAGUAUACCACAACACUUCUUUAUUAACCCCGGGCAGCCUACCUUACUUUAGCUACUGAGUCUGGUGCUUCAACUUAGAGAAAGAAGCCUUUCAGAAGCCUACCCGACCCCUAGUUAAGGAAUGAAACAACUACCCUCGCCUCAAAGCUAAGCAAUAAGUACUGAAGUGCGGAAUUGAACUAGUCCGUAGAAGCCUUAAAGCACCAACUAGUAGGUCAGGGUAUCGAUUCUCCUCUAGGGCGAACACUGGACUUGAAAGAAGGGCCCUUACUAUUAAUUUCUCCCCAACCAGUAGAGUAGUAAAAAGUACAGAGCCAUAACUGGGACUAGUAGAUGUAUCGGAGUAGCGGUAAGUCAACUCCAUUCUUAAAGGAAAGAAAGUCGAAUUCGGAUAGUCCACGGAGGGAGCCGGUGAGGAAGAGAGAGUGAGCGGAACUUGAAGUACCAGAUCUUGCUGCUGAAUCUUAUUGGUAAUUAUACGUAGCUUGUCCAGUAGUAACUUGGCGAGUGGAAUCCCCUUCAUAUGUAGUUUCAUCCGUAGUAGUAGCCAGAGAAGAUCCGANNNNNNNNNNNNNNNNNNNNNNNNNNNNNNNNNNNNNNNNNNNNNNNNNNNNNNNNNNNNNNNNNNNNNNNNNNNNNNNNNNNNNNNNNNNNNNNNNNNNNNNNNNNNNNNNNNNNNNNNNNNNNNNNNNNNNNNNNNNNNNNNNNNNNNNNNNNNNNNNNNNNNNNNNNNNNNNNNNNNNNNNNNNNNNNNNNNNNNNNNNNNNNNNNNNNNNNNNNNNNNNNNNNNNNNNNNNNNNNNNNNNNNNNNNNNUUUUCCCGUGUUUUUUCAUAGCCAAGGUCAUUUCCCUCCUGGAUCACCCAUUGGGAAUUCGAUUUUUCCGUUUUCCCGUGUUUUUUCAUAGCCAUUAGUACUUGGCUCUGACCUUUGAGUAAACCCAUCCCCUUUGGAGCUUGGCUCUGGUAUUCCUACUUGUGAGCUUGCUGGCUCCACUCUUAAAGGAGUUGGUUCCAUUCUUAUACUGACUAGCUCUAUCCUAUGCCUUACUGGGUUGAUUCCAACUAUUGAGCACCCAGCUACUGGGGUAAAUUCUGUAUACUGCAUCCGAGGGUUAUGGCUUAUACCCAAUAGCUCCCAUUCUGAUUGGCGAACACAGGACUUCCUCAACUUCUAUCUGGUCUGUUCUUGCCUCCAUCUCCUCUCUUCUUACUAGCAGUGGGGUAAGCCUGCCACUACCUGGGUGAAGUCUUGAUGUUAGUGCUCUCAGUCUAGCUACCCUGUGUUUCAGUCUUUAUGUUACUAGUCUAGCUCUGGUUGUUAGUGGUUUAGGUCUGAGUUAGUGUCAUAAGAGUUAAGACUGAUUGUUAGUAGUCUAGUUCUGGUAGUUAGCAGCUUCAGUCUGAGUCGACUUAGCUGAAGUCUUAAGUAGCAGCUAUAGCCUUGCACACCUUAGUUCCAUUUUCUGGUUUACUGGUUGAAGUCUGAGGAGCACCAAUAUCAUUCUAGUUGCUAGUGGGUUGGUUCUUUAACUACCUUAUCUCAGGCUGUCACUCCCUUGUUUGGUUCUGUAACUCCCUUGUUUCGUUCUUAAACACCCAAGAAUCAGGCAGAGUAGACACCGCUUCAGGCUGUAACUACCCGGGUUCAUUCUAUCCCUUAGCAACCCAGCAGCCGAGUUUGAUUAUGGUUAGCACUGGCUUAAGUCUGGUCGGAUCUAGUUGAAGGUUGCCUAGCUCAGGUUGAAGUCUGUAACUCACUGGUUUGGUUCUUUAACUACCUUGGUUCAGUCUUACUAGCUUCCUCACCGGAUCUUGCUCUUUCAACUAAGUCUUAUCCCCUACCUUAGCUACCUGGGUACUGAUUAAAUGCUGGCACUCCUCAGUUAUAUUCUAUAUCUUACUUCUGUAUUCCUAGACUGAGUUCUCCUAGGGCAUCUGGGAAUUGAUACCAACUAUCAGACACCCCACUAAGCCCUUAUUAUAAUCCAACUACCCGAGUCACAGAAGUCAACCACCUUUAACUAGUAAAAGAUAGAAACAAGGCUCCAUUAGUUUGAUAGGCAUGUUUGCUAGGCAAUAGGCACAACUUACUAUAAGGGCCAGAUCCAUCCUUUUUUUAUACAGUAGACUUUCCUGGAGACAACACUGCUUUGCUUCCUAUCUUUAGACUUUCAACCUGCAGACAACACUGCUUCCUCUCUUUCUUGCCAACUUAGUUCCCGAGUCUACUGAGUUUGAUUCUGAAGCAACAUAUCUAGCUGCACUGCUUGAAGGCUUAAGUACCAACUAACAGACAAGGAAUGGGUAGGCAAGUAAGGGAAUAGUAGGCACCACAUAAGUCUUAGGACCAAUACCUAGCAGCAAUAGUACCAAUAAGUAGUACCAAUAAAAUACCCAGCAGCAGUCCUAUGCUCACUGGCAUCAGGCUUGCACUUACCGGUUUCAUUCUCUGUCUCACUUGCUUCAGGCUGUCACUCCCUGGUUGGGUUCUGUAACUACAUAGCUCUAUUCUCUAACUACCCAGCACCAGUCUCAGUGGUAUUGGUUGAAGCUUUAUACCCGGGCCGGAUAGCCUGAUACCAACUAGCUACAUUCCCAAACGACCUGUACCUUCCUUCUAUGCUUAACAACCGCCGCUACUAUGGAAGGGAAGGUAGAAAACAGUGGAUAGAAAGUCUAGGGUUAGAGCUUUAGCUCCUUGUGAUAGAGUGGAAUACCGGUAGUACUAUUCUGGUUUUGUCUACUCAAUUGGGUGGGCGCUUGUAUGCUUGUCUAUCCGUGUCUUGGCCCUUCCUGGACCGAUCCAAUCCAAUCCUAUUAUCUACUGAGAAUUCCUUCACAAUGAUAAAUAGAACACCGGAUAGAUCAUUCAAUGGCAAUGGCGAAGAGUUCUCCUAAGGGCGGGCUGGGUGAGAAAAAGCGUCCUUAGCAAACUACAGCAUCAAAGAAAAAACCGCUUAGCCCUGCUUAGUAAAGUGAGGCGAGGUGGGCUGGCUACGAUUCAAUUGGAAGUAGGGUAACAAGAUUCGUUAAUGCACCAUCUUCCAAAGCGGGAUCCUCUGUUUUUUCCAGAAAAGGUCCCGUCCCAUCCUUCAAUAUCAUGAUUGGGUCGACUUCGUUUAAGUGAAGUUACUGACUUUCAUAAUUUCUGGAAUAUGGAACUUCCCCUUUGUACUUGAACUACAUUAUGGAAUAUGAAGAACCCCUAUACUGGUCCAGACUUCUUAAUGGUUGCAAGAGAAGUUCCAGUCUCGUAUGGAGCGGGUGCGUUAGUGAGAAAGCUUUUUGUACCUUAAGAUCAUCUCUGUCGGUUAAGUCAGCGGGAAGUCAAGGUUCGUAAAGGGAAAGUUCAGUGAAGAGUCGAGCAAGACAGAUCUUUAUUAGUUUAGUUUGAGCGCCAAACAACUACUAAUGUUGCUUGGCCCUUACGAGCGAGGUAUCUUCAUAAACACCCGAUCCAGCAUCAGAUCUUUCAACUCCAAAGUGAGAAUUGAGAGAAAGAGAACGAAGUGUUACCCGCUUGCUUCACAAAGCCUUUCGAUCUAGUGAUUGUUUCCGAUCCGAGCCAUAAGUCUUUGUCCUGUGUUCGGGUGCUGAAAGCCUACUAAAGUCAGCCUUGAACUCCUACCUACUCGGUUAGGAUAGGACUUAACUAAGGAAAGAGACUCAUUAGUACACCUCGCUACGGAAAGAGACUCCGAAACAAGAACAUAUAAUCAAAGUAGUGCUUCAGAAGAAUAAAGUCAAAAGAGGCUAAUCGGUGAAGGCAAGACAACCCGGACUUACUGAGGCGGUAUAGGAACUCCACUCUAGUAUAGGAGUAAUAAAGUACAGGCCGGGAAGAAUGAGCGGGGCAUGAUAGGCAAAUGAAACAACUCCCUUACGUGCCGAGUCAACUCAAAUCUGAAUUGAGAUAGAAACUCCCUUCCCUGCGACCUCUCGUAUUCAAUGAAAUUACUAUUUAUUGCUCUAGUUGUUGCUUGGCGAGCCUUAACCGCUACGUUAUAGAGAGAUUCGAUAGUAGAUUCGGCUUACUUAUACGAUUCCACUUCAACUGGUCAUUCUGCUGACUUACUUUCUGCAACAUCACCGCUUGCUGCUGACGACUUAAUCGCUUCAUUUUUUCUUCAUGGGGCGACACUGCAGAUUCUCCGUGGGCAUUCUCUUUCUACUUAUGGAACUCUCAGUGCUUAGUCCAAUCCUUUAAUUGAUUAUUGACAGAAUCCAGACUUGACUCGCACAAGAGCAAGACCAAGACUUGGGGCCGCUAGAGUUCCCAUUAUUACAAUAGAUGUCUUUGCGGUACGGAAAUGAUAAAGCCGAGUUGAUCCGAGCAGGAGGGCUAUCCUUCAUGACAAAAUGUACAUUUUCACAGCAUUUAGUUGUCUUCAAUGUUUUGCCCUAUGAAGCAACCUUUCACCUAUGUUCAAGGACUCGAUAAGCCUUAUGAAGCGGCUUGCCCAGCGGAGCUACCUGGAAUUCUAUCUGUGUGGAAUUGUACUUUCCCAACACUUAAUGAGUAGUGGCCCUCUUCAGCCCCCAGUGGUGGUCCAAGAGAGUAAGGAGCGGUACCCGAAGUAGGAACAAAAUAAGUUGUUGUUCGAGAAUCCGUAGUGCAAGUAAAGCCGACAAGAGAAUCUACUGUGCCAGGAAAGGAGAAAGUGUUGUUAUAUUUGAAUCGUGAAAGUGAAGAUGAAUCAUCUCUUUUCUUUGCGAACGAAUGUAGAUCCGCAUCAGCAACUGAAUAAGCAGUUCCCGACGAAGAAAGGUAUGCUGUGCUAGGAAAAUAGACAAGAUCAUAAGCUUGAGAAGAAGAUAAUGCCGUAGUAGUGGUGCAAGCUCGAGUAUCAUCUCUUUGGGCACUAAUGUAUAGUUUCAUUAAAGACAAUUUAUUCGUCGGCGAGCGAUAAAGGGUUACCGGAAUCCAUCAUAGGGAGCGGGGAACUCUAAUGAUUCUGUUUCUUCUGAGACUGCUGUUCCAUCUUAUGCUGGAACUCGUAUUGAAUCUAGAACAAUACUGGAAGAAGCCUUAUACACAAGCACUCGAACCGAUAACAAGAGCUGAAGAAAGAUAUUCUGCCCCGACCUAAACUAGAACUGUCCUUUCUUCACCUCCGUAGAGUUCUGAAUAAGUCCUAAUUCGAUGCCUCCAUUCGAUUCUCUUAUUAAAGAAAAAAGGGGUAGGUGCCUCUGCCUCUAUUCUAUAAGCCGUUAGCGCACCUAAACAAUAUGACACUUACGCCGAUACAGAGUCUUUUGGGGCAGCGCCGUCAAGCAGAUAAUCUUGGACUUUUCUAUCUUCUUAACUCAACUGGCAGGACUUGCUCUUAAAGCUACUGUUAUCGAGUUUUCAGCUUCAGCGUUAAGUAUUGCCAGGCCCAGGCCCAACAAAACGCACAAGUGACGGUGUAAAACCAGAUGUUGUGCUAAUGCAUCAGCGUAAGUUCCAGUUUCAUAAUUCAUUGUUAGUUGCGAGAUCGUAUAUCUAUUGCUAAUAUUACACAUAAAGUUCGAAUUAAGGCACAGUUCCUUUGCUUGCUUGUCGAGCUGUACUUGCAAACGAGAUACUCGACUGCUUGCAAUGUGUGGGAGCUGCGAUCCCAUCUUUCUACCUUACACAACACCGGCUAAAGAACCUUGAUACUGCUUAGCGCAACAAUUCAUCAAAUAAGUCUGGGCUGGGCCAGUGUCAACUAAUACUACAGUUAGAUCUGCUCUGGUCUACUUGACUUUCCAACUCUUCUUCCUUUCCUGAUCUACUUGACUUUCCAACUCUUCUUCCUUUCCUGGUCUACUUUACUUUCCAACUCUUCUUCCUUUCGAGCACUAAUGAUAGAACUUUGUAACAACACCACCUGCUUCCCUAUCUUUUGAAUCUCUAUUCUCUUUUGAAUCUGACCUAACAGCCAGCAAGCAUCCCUUUUGUUUGCCAAACUCUUCUUCCUCUCUCUGAUUCUCACACCUAAAUCGAUUAUUCUUUCAAAGAUGUUCACUAUAACAUCUAUUUCUUCCCUAUCACCCGGUUAUACCAAUAGUAAUUAGAGACUCUUCCUUCUAUUGUUGACUUAACUCGAACAAACAGGUAAUUCUUCUGCAAUAACUCGUGUACAACUAGGGUAAAUCACUUCUCUCACUGCUUACUUGCUUUUUUCUUCUUUCCCGACCUAAACUAGAAUUGAAGAACCGACAACAAAGACAUCUGACUUGAGAACUUGAACUGGCCCACAAGGGGUUGAUUCGUCUUCUGCUCCAUCCUCUGCUACUACAUAUCAAUCUCAUUUAAUGUACUCCGCUACAUCUACUGCACCAACAUGAGAAUGGAAUCUUGAUCUAUCUAUUCCAAGGGAAAAGGGGGUAUCUUAUCUUAAGUGUAACAGUCCUCUCCAAAGGGGUAACUCUUUGAUGCUUUCUCGCUUUAUAUCUCCUUUUCUAAGCUCUUGCUUUUGGCGUGUCGAUAACAUCAGAGGUUGGUAACGUCAAUAAUCGCCCUUUACUUAUUAUGGGCUUUUCUUUGGCGCUAAAGGAAGCGGUGCGGUAAGUGAUGAUUCAGUAUCAAAGGCUCUAGAAGCCCUCAGCCCACGUAACUAGAAAAUGAAGUUAUCGUUCUGCAAAAUAGAGGAUAAAGCAAUAAAGUGUAAGGAAAGAGGGUGUUUGUUGGGUAGAGAGUCUAAUGGUAAUCAUAAUAACUUAGAUGCUUGCUCUAUAGGAUGAAAUCAAGUAUUUAUUGACGGGGAAGAUCCACUGUUUUGACUGCACUAACGGAAUUGCCAAUUUGAGAAUGAUUGUUGGACUGACUGGUUUCCUUGACUCGACGAUAAAGGAGUGACUGCCUCGGUGUGUAAAGGAGAUGUUGGAUUGGCGCUCAAAAGUCGAAUUCUUUCUUUGGAGACACUAGAUGUAGAAUUUGUGUAACACCUAUUCCGCUUACUCAGUGUGAAUUGAAGAAGAUGGGUUCCUGGGUGCCUGUUCGAUUCUUGUAAGCAGUAAAGCAAAGAUACAAGUCGGUGGUUACAUAAUAAAAAGCUGCAAAGGAUGUAUAGGAGCCGGGGAGAAUUUGUAAGAACGAAAAGCACGAGUACGACUUAAGCAAGGAGUUUUGGACUGCUAUACAGGAGCGUGAGUACAGUAGCUAAGCCCCAAAGCGAGUAGAUAAAGAACGAGGUGUAACAGCCGCAGGCCUAGAGCGGGUAGUCAAAGAAUUGAGGCUAUUAGGUUGAGAUAAAGCAAAGGCUCUUAGGACAUCAAUAUCCGUUUAAGAGGGCAGACCUAUAGUUAAGAGUAAGUGUGUUUAGGUGCCUAACGACUAUAGAAUGGAUUUCUGACUUGAGAGUUGUUGCCUUUGGAUUACUAGUCGAUUCUUCUACUGUUUUAUCUCAUCCUCUCCAACUAGAUGGGUGUGUUACCGAGACUUUCACUAGAAAAAGGGAAUAGAACCCGGGCUACCAAUACGGAAACUAGAAGCUGGGAAUUACAAUGUUACUGGAAACAAUCAAGCUAGUGCUUAUUAGACCUGGACUAGUGCUUCUAAUGUGAGAACUCGACAGACAACGAUAGAAUAUACUAUCUAGGAAAGGAAUCCAACUCAAAAGUCAGAGAACGAAACAGGAAAGACAAAGGUGACCAUAGGACUGAAACAAGCAAACGGUAACCAAGCUACUGUUUAUUCUUCUGGAGUUUGGGAUCUAGGCUUACUUCCUUCACCAUGGGUCUGCUACUACUGCCUAUUGGCCUGUAUAACUAUACCCACACUCUAAGUCCACCGCUACGAGCUUUCAUUCCGUAUCUACUGUAUUAUUAUGAUUCUUCUUAUGGUUUCACCAGUCACUGUCCCUAUACGAGCUUUCAUUCCGUAUCUACUGUAUUCUUCUUCUUCUUCUUAUGGUUUCUACCAGUCACUGUCCCUAUACGAGCUUUCAUUCUGAUAUCUCUGUAAUUCAAUAUCUAUGUUUUAGCAUACCUCUCCUACUACCUAUGUAUUGAUACUCACUAUGUUACUAUUGAGAAAAGCAAUAUAGUGGAUGAGCACGGGCAGACUGGAUGAAAUAUAAGAAUCCCAGAACAAGGGUGGAACUCUGACCCUGGAUAGAGGAAUCAAAGAGCAAACACAGAAUGAACUAUAGAACCAGUAAACUAAACGGAAAGUCGAGGAGUAAGGAAUAGAAGAAAGAAAACCCGGGGCACAAAGGAAUAAUAUCAUAUCCGAGCUCAGAGCCUUAUACUAAUUACCUAACAUCUGUACGAGUAGAUUCAGUAUGACCUCCUUGCUUUCGUACUGAGACUAAUGAUCUCAAUUACCUUUCUUCCGGUUCAAGCUUAUACACUAUCUAAUAGAAUGGAAUAAGAAACUGGGAAUCGAACCGGGGAACAAAGUUAUGAACCAAGAGGCCAUGGAAUAGAACCAAUGAGAACUGGAAUCCUACUUAUAAGCAAUAAUGAAAAACAUAGCUAGGAGCAACUAGGGAGCCCUCGUACACAGAACCCUAAUAGCACUGAGUGGUCUAAGCCCUGUACUAAUCAACCCUAAUAGCACUGAGUGGUCUAAGCCCUGUACUAAUCAAGACUGAACAACAGCUUAAAGCACUCCGCUGAAGAUAAGAGGAGUGGAAUUCCAUACAGGCACCUGAGUUAGGGCCAAGUAACAUAGUAAGUGUAGCGGCAGUGUUGUUUCACGGGUUUUGGCGAGUUCCUGUGUUGGCGAGACCAGAGAGAGAGGUGAUUGUUUUAGAGUAUCUUUCAGUUCUUGUCUCGGGUCGGGGUUCACACUUAUGAGAGGUCGGGUCAGGGCAAACAAUAAGAAUAGCAUGGGAUGAAGAAAAUGGGAAGAAAUGAAAAGAAAUGAGAAAUAUUCAAUAAACCAGGUCGUCGUUGUUUGGCCCGUUGCUUGGCCUUUGACUACUGAUCCGGAUCCUUACUUACUUGCCAAAGAACUCAGCUAACUACUACUAGAUUGUAACUACUAACAUCUAGAUUGUAACUACUAACAUAGGACCUUUUAACUACUAACUAGCAGAUCGAACACUCAACUAACGACUUGAACUGGGAACUCAGGCUUUACCCAUUUGUUUUAAUGAAAAAACGGCUCACUUGUAUCCGUGCUUCUUAGCUUCAAACUUCAACUAAGCCCUCUCAUUCCUUGAAUACGCUCUCGAUUACUGUUACUAUGACCUGCAAUGCCUAUGCUUGAGGCGAACUCUGUUACUAAAUAAGAAAAUGAUAUAUGAGCCCUACCUUGUCUCUAAAGUCAGGAUACCGAACUAAGUUACUAUAUACUAAUAUACUAAUGUAAGAAGAAAACACUGAACUAUAGAAUUGAGCUAUGUAGCUAAGGUCUAGUACCAAUGCCACUGAGAAUGCAGCUAAGGAGGUUAACUCGCUACCGCUUUUCAGCUCGCUGACGCGACAGCGAACACCAAACAAAGCACUUUUUCAUAAGAAUAGUGAAUACGGGGUUACACGAUCUAGUUUCAUAGUGAAUACGGGGUUACACGAUCUAGUUUCAUAGAGGGGCAGAACCACAAAAGAAAAAGAAGGCUAAAUGGAAUCUUAUAGAAUAUACAAGAUGCAAAACCAAGCAAAAAAGCACUCGAAAAUGCUACUCGCUUUUCCAAUAUGUAGUUUACCAGCCUAGAUAAGUUUGACAUCAGAAGUACCAUGACCAACGUGGACUCUUUAGACACCUUCCGAACUAGGGAUCCAAACAAAAGAAGGUAUAUCUUGGUUACUCUCGGUAGAGCGUAUUCUACUCUAUAGAGAGCCGCCUUGGACAUAGAAGAAUUCGCUUAAAGGUUUAGUAAAGCUAUUGUUUGCCAGUCCAUUAUUGUGGCCAAAGAUCAUAAUAGGGUGGAGGGGGACAUCAUUUUCAUUGUGCAGUUUUUAAUCCGGAAGGGAUUCCUACAGCUUAUGCUAUAAGGUUGAUAAUAAAUGCUUUCCCUGAGUUCGAGGGGGCUCAAAUGAGUAUCACCUUUCAUAAGGCAUGGGUCACAGCAUGUAAGUAUGUGCUCAAAUAGGACAAGGAGCCAUACAAUUAUGGAAAGCAUGACCCCAAACCCAUUAGUUUAAGAGAUUCUUAGUGCACAGAAACAGCAUAGGAAGAACCUAGAUAAAUGCGAGGAACUCAUUCCAAGGUGGAAAAGCAUAGAUGAGUGAGCUAUAUGAUGAUCCAAUAUUAAGGAAUCGCAUUUUCUCCACCUAUAACUCUAUAAAAGCAGUUUCUGAAGAUCUACUGGUCAUAAAAGACAGAGAGAGCAAUCUCAAGAGCAGAAUGGAAGAUUUGAUUCAUAAUAAUAAGUGGCCGAACUCGUAUACCAUUGAGGAAAUCCAAGAGAAAUAGAAACUACUAGACUAGAUAGCAUGUCCAAAUAUCUACUACUAGACUAGAUAGCAUGUAAUCUAAUCAUCUUUCUAAGACCCAUAAAUACUAUCAGGGGCCCUCUUUCAGGAACGAUUUCUGAGAUUUACGUUCAAAACCCCAACCAAGAUAAGAAAUCUAACCGAGGAAAGGAUUGUAGCAACCUUUUAUGGGUGUAUUCCAAGAAGACUCCGGCAGAAAUGGGUCACAUAGCAAGAAGCAAAGGUGCUGAAAGCCUUUGAAGUACAAUGAAGAAUUUGCUACCAUCUCCAAAUACCAAGCUCCACCUUCAAACUAAGAUAACCUAAUCAAACCAUUUGGGAGCAAGAGCCGGGAAGAAUAACAAGAAUGGAUAUACUCUAUAAAGGAUGCUACGCUAAGGGGAUAGAGGAAUAAUGACCACGGAAUUAGGAAGUAAGCUAAAGAUUGUUGUUGCACAAAAAGAGGAAGAACAAAAAGCUCUCAUAAACCUAGAGGAUAUCUACUUUGUUGCACAAGCAAAUCUAGAGCAAAUAAGUAAUGGACAGAAAUGACAAGAGGAGCGAAAGGGAAAAG